GUUGUACCCCGUCCCAAAAUUGUUGUCUUAAAUUCCUUUAAAUAUGGAUGUAUCUAGUCAUGUUUUAGUAUUUGAUACAUUUGUAUCUAGAUAAAUCUUAGACAAUAAUUUUAGGACGAAGGUAAUAC
rfam:Hordeum vulgare subsp. vulgare, WGS project CAJW01000000 data, contig: morex_contig_108883